rnacentral:rRNA from 1 species
GUCGAACGCUGGCGGCGUGCCUAACACAUGCAAGUAGAGCGAAUGAAAUUCCAUCGGGGACGGAUAUAGCGGCGGACGGGUGAGUAACACGUGGGCAACCUGCCUCAUAGAGGGGAAUAGCCUUCAGAAAGGGAGAUUAAUACCGCAUAAGCAUGUAGUACCGCAUGGUACAGCAAUGAAAGGUGCAAUACGCUAUGGGUUGGGCCCGCGGCGCAUUAGCUAGUUGGUGAGGUAACGGCUCACCAAGGCGACGAUGCGUAGCCGACCUGAGAGGGUGAUCGGCCACAUUGGGACUGAGACACGGCCCAAACUCCUACGGGAGGCAGCAGUAGGGAAUCUUCCGCAAUGGGCGAAAGCCUGACGGAGCAAUGCCGCGUGAAUGAAGAAGGCCUUCGGGUCGUAAAACUCUGUUAUAAGAGAAGAACAAAUUGUAGAGUAACUGCUACAGUCUUGACGGUAUCUUAUCAGAAAGCCACGGCUAACUACGUGCCAGCCGCCGCAGUAA